AACGAACGCUGGCGGCAGGCUUAACACAUGCAAGUCGAGCGAGACCUUCGGGUCUAGCGGCGGACGGGUGAGUAACGCGUGGGAACGUGCCCUUCUCUACGGAAUAGCCCCGGGAAACUGGGAGUAAUACCGUAUACGCCCUUUGGGGGAAAGAUUUAUCGGAGAAGGAUCGGCCCGCGUUGGAUUAGGUAGUUGGUGGGGUAAUGGCCCACCAAGCCGACGAUCCAUAGCUGGUUUGAGAGGAUGAUCAGCCACACUGGGACUGAGACACGGCCCAGACUCCUACGGGAGGCAGCAGUGGGGAAUCUUAGACAAUGGGAGCAACCCUGAUCUAGCUAUGCCGCGUGAGUGAUGAAGGCCUUAGGGUUGUAAAGCUCUUUCAGCUGGGAAGAUAAUGACGUACCAGCAGAAGAGCC
rnacentral:rRNA from 1 species